rnacentral:rRNA from 1 species
CCUACGGGGGGCCGCAGUGGGGAAUAUUGGACAAUGGGGGCAACCCUGAUCCAGCCAUGCCGCGUGUGUGAAGAAGGCCCUCGGGUUGUAAAGCACUUUCAGUGAGGAAGAACGCCUGGUGGUUAAUACCCAUCAGGAAAGACAUCACUCACAGAAGAAGCACCGGCUAACUCCGUGCCAGCAGCCGCGGUAAUACGGAGGGUGCGAGCGUUAAUCGGAAUUACUGGGCGUAAAGCGCGCGUAGGUGGCUUGAUAAGCCGGUUGUGAAAGCCCCGGGCUCAACCUGGGAACGGCAUCCGGAACUGUCAAGCUAGAGUGCAGGAGAGGAAGGUAGAAUUCCCGGUGUAGCGGUGAAAUGCGUAGAGAUCGGGAGGAAUACCAGUGGCGAAGGCGGCCUUCUGGACUGACACUGACACUGAGGUGCGAAAGCGUGGGUAGCAAACAGGAUUAGAUACCCUUGUAGUC